AACUAAGCGAGCUACUUUAAAACAGCUUAUAGAGCCAACUCAUCCCUGUUACAAAAUGGUGAGAAGAGUUUAAAGUAGAGGUGAUACACCUAUCGAGCUUAGAGAUAGCUGGUUAUUCAAAAAAGGGAUUUAAGUCCCACUUUAAGUUUUCCUAGUACUACAAAACACUCAAUAAACUUAAAAGCCAUUCAAAUAAGGUACAGCCUAUUUGAACAAGGAAACAACCUAAAAUAUAGGGUAAUCUUUACUAACAUGGCUAAGUAGACUUAAAAGCAGCCAUCUUCCAAAAAGCGUCCAAGCUUCCCCCCCCCC
rnacentral:rRNA from 1 species